CGGGAAUAGCUCAAAUUUUAAAUCUGGCUGGCGUGGUCGGUCCGAGUUGUAAUUUGUAGAAGAUGCUUCGGGUGUGGCUCCGGUCUAAGUUCCUUGGAACAGGACGUCAUAGAGGGUGAGAAUCCCGUAUGUGACUGGGUGCCUUCGCCUAUGUGAAGCUCUUUCGAC
rnacentral:rRNA from 1 species